rnacentral:rRNA from 1 species
GAUGAACGCUAGCUACAGGCUUAACACAUGCAAGUCGAGGGGAAACGAUAGAGAAAGCUUGCUUUUUCUAGGCGUCGACCGGCGCACGGGUGAGUAACGCGUAUCCAACCUGCCCAUCACUUGGGGAUAACCUUGCGAAAGUAAGACUAAUACCCAAUGACGUCUCUAGAAGACAUCUGAAAGAGAUUAAAGAUUUAUCGGUGAUGGCUGGGGAUGCGUCUGAUUAGCUUGGUGGCGGGGGAACGGCCCACCAAAGCGACGAUCAGUAGGGGCUCUGAGAGGAAGGUCCCCCACAUUGGAGCUGAGACACGGUCCAAACUCCGACGGGAGGCAGCAGUGAGGAAUAUUGGUCAAUGGGCGAGAGCCUGAACCAGCCAAGUAGCGUGCAGGAUGACGGCCCUAUGGGUUUUAAACUGCUUUUAUAAGGGAAUAAAGUGAGUCUCGUGAGACUUUUUGCAUGUACCUUAUGAAUAAGGACCGGCUAAUUCCGUGCCAGCAGCCGCGGUAA